rnacentral:lncRNA from 1 species
AAAAUAAAAUAAGUGAAAGAAAAUAUGAAAUGAAAAUGAAAAGAAAAUAAGUUAAAAUGAAGAAUAUAUGAAAAUAAAAGGGGAAAAAAGAAAGAAAAGAAAAACAUAUAGGGGCACUGGGGGUUGAACCCCUGACCUUGGGGUCAUGAGUCAACCCCUAUUUAACUGGGCCAAGCUCCUCUUAGUGAAAGUGAAUGCGCUUCAGAGAAAUAAAUAAAAU